rnacentral:tRNA from 1 species
CAGGGAAUAGUUUAGUUUAAAAUAUCAACUUUGGAGGUUGAUGAUAAGUGUGAUUUCUUUUCCUUGA